rfam:Ictidomys tridecemlineatus contig019911, whole genome shotgun sequence.
GGGGGUAUAACUCAGUGGUAGAGCAUGUAUUUAGCAUGCAUAAGUUCCUGGGUUCCAUUCCCAGCACCAACA